rnacentral:rRNA from 1 species
UACGGGGGGAGCAAGCGUUGUUCGGAUUUACUGGCGUAAAGGGCGCGUAGGCGGUCAGCACAAGUCAGUUGUGAAAUCUCCGGGCUUAACUCGGAAAGGUCAACUGAUACUGUGCGACUAGAGUGCAGAAGGGGCAACUGGAAUUCUCGGUGUAGCGGUGAAAUGCGUAGAUAUCGAGAGGAACACCUGCGGCGAAGGCGGGUUGCUGGGCUGACACUGACGCUGAUGCGCGGAAAGCCAGGGGAGCGAACGGG